CGGCCGCGUCGACGAAAUUCCUUGUCGGGUAAGUUCCGACCUGCACGAAUGGUGUAACGAUCCGGGCACUGUCUCGGGGAAGAACUCGGUGAAAUUGAAUUAUCAGUGAAGAUGCUGAUUACCCGCAACAGGACGGAAAGACCCCGUGAACCUUUACUAUAACUUGACAUUGAGUUUUGUUUUGUGAUGUGUAGAAUAGAUGGGAGGCUUUGAAGUGGGAGCGCCAGCUUUCAUGGAUCCAUCGUUGAAAUACCAUCCUUCGCAAAAUGGGAUUCUAACGAUUAGCCGUUAUCCGGCAGUCGGACAUUGUCAGGCGGGUAGUUUGACUGGGGCGGUCGCCUCCUAAAGAGUAACGGAGGCGUGCAAAGGUCACCUCAAACCGAAUAGAAAUCGGUAGUAGAGUAUAAAGGCAUAAGGUGG
rnacentral:rRNA from 1 species